rnacentral:lncRNA from 1 species
GCUCUCAGGCAGAGGCUCCACAAGAAGUGGAGUGCUGCGGCAGCUCUCCCCCGUGUUGUAAGCGCUGGUGCUAUCUUUGUCUGAUUUCUCUGGCAGUUCAGAGAUAUCAGACAGCUCAUGCUUUUUGGGCUCACUGGCUGCCAGGUCAUAGAGACUUUCCUCCUCCAGCAGCCAGGCCUUCAUACAGCGCUCCCGCAACUGCUGCAUCUUCUGUGCCCGCAAGAUAUUGCGGCACUUGAACUCUAGGUGCCGAAGCUCUUCCUCCAGCAUGGCCAUCUCAUGGCCUAGGCUCUCAUUGCGGUUGACAUCUAGGGCACUGUUGCCACUGGAGGCCCGGGAGAAGAAGAUGCCCAGCUGGUUGCCAUUUUCCAGGUGGCACUUGAUCUCCAGCAGCUCCCGGUAGCGUUCAUACUCCUCAUCAGUGAGCCCAGGUGCAUGGAGGUAUUGGUUAAAUCCAGAAGAAGGUAUUAGAUCCUCUGGAACUGGAGUUAGAGGUGGUUGUGAGACAUCUAUGUGAUUUCUGGGAACUGAACUUGGGUCCUUUGAAGAAGCAGUAAGAAUCAUCCUCCUAAAACACUUCCCACAUGCAUACUCCCCUUUAAAACAGUUUCACUAUGUAGCUCUAAUGAACCGCAAGCUCCUA